GCUAGCGUGGCAGAGCCCGGAAAAAUGCAAAAGGCUUAAGCCCUUUACCCAGAGGUUCAAGUCCUCUCCCUAGCU
rnacentral:tRNA from 1 species